UACGGGGGGGGGCAAGCGUUGUCCGGAUUUAUUGGGCGUAAAGAGCGUGUAGGCGGCCAGGUAGGUCCGUUGUGAAAACUAGAGGCUUAACCUCUAGACGUCGAUGGAAACCAUCUGGCUAGAGUCCGGAAGAGGAGAGUGGAAUUCCUGGUGUAGCGGUGAAAUGCGCAGAUAUCAGGAAGAACACCCGUGGCGAAGGCGGCUCUCUGGGACGGUACUGACGCUGAGACGCGAAAGCGUGGGGAGCGAACAGG
rnacentral:rRNA from 1 species